GAUGAACGCUGGCGGCGUGCUUAACACAUGCGAGUCGAACGAAGCACUUUAUUUGAUUUCCUUCGGGACUGAUUAUUUUGUGACUGAGUGGCGGACGGGUGAGUAACGCGUGGGUAACCUGCCUUGUACAGGGGGAUAACAGUUGGAAACGGCUGCUAAUACCGCAUAAGCGCACAGCAUCGCAUGAUGCAGUGUGAAAAACUCCGGUGGUAUAAGAUGGACCCGCGUUGGAUUAGCUAGUUGGUGAGGUAACGGCCCACCAAGGCGACGAUCCAUAGCCGACCUGAGAGGGUGACCGGCCACAUUGGGACUGAGACACGGCCCAAACUCCUACGGGAGGCAGCAGUGGGGAAUAUUGCACAAUGGGCGAAAGCCUGAUGCAGCGACGCCGCGUGAGCGAAGAAGUAUUUCGGUAUGUAAAGCUCUAUCAGCAGGGAAGAUAAUGACGGUACCUGACUAAGAAGCACCGGCUAAAUACGUG
rnacentral:rRNA from 1 species